UGGGUUCCAGAUGGUUGGAACGGUAUGAGCCUAUCUAUGUCCCAAUUAUGUGGUGCUUUCCGCCCCUGUACCUGCGCCCUCUGUUCCAGAAGGCUCUUUAGGCCCAAGGCCUGGAGCGCUGCGUCUGAUUCUGCGGCUGUGGUAAGUCGUAAGCUCUUCUCUCCUUGCGAUAUGAACAGGCUCCUGGGGAAGCCCCAAUGGUAUGGGAUUGAGUGGGUGCGUAGUGUCGAGGUCAGAGGUUUAAACUGGCUUCUCCAUAACAGUGUAGGUCUGGA